rfam:Triticum aestivum genome assembly, contig: Triticum_aestivum_CS42_TGACv1_scaffold_404418_5BL
CACAUACUCCCUCCGUCCCAAAAUUCUUCUCUUACAUUUGUCUAGAUACGGAUGUAUCUAACACUAAAAUGUAACUAGAUACAUCCGUAUUUGGACAAAUCUAAGACAAGAAUUUUGGGACGGAGGGAGCACUAU